UACGUAGGGUGCAAGCGUUAAUCGGAAUUACUGGGCGUAAAGCGUGCGCAGGCGGUUCUGUAAGUCUGUCGUGAAAUCCCCGGGCUUAACCUGGGAAUUGCGAUGGAGACUGCAAGGCUAGAAUCUGGCAGAGGGGGGUAGAAUUCCACGUGUAGCAGUGAAAUGCGUAGAGAUGUGGAGGAACACCGAUGGCGCAAGGCAGCCCCCUGGGUCAAGAUUGACGCUCAUGCACGAAAGGCGUGGGGAGCAAACAGG
rnacentral:rRNA from 1 species